GCCGGAGUGGCGAAAUGGCAGACGCAGCAGACUCAAAAUCUGCCGCCUUCACGGGCGUGUGGGUUCAAGUCCCUCCUCCGGCACCA
rnacentral:tRNA from 1 species